rnacentral:tRNA from 1 species
GUACCCGUGACCUAAUGGAUAAAGCGUCUGAUUUCUAAUCAGGCGAUUGUGGAUUCGAGUCCCACCGGGCAUG